AGUUCAAACUCUAGGACCAGCAAAAAAAAAGAAACACAGAGAAGGGGGGAGAGGGAGAGAGAUAAGCGGUGUAGCUGAAAUGGUAAAGUCCAGCCAUGAAUGAAAAAGCUGAUUGAGAGAAUGAGGCCCUGAGUUCAAAGCUCUAGUAAAAACAAAGAAGGAAAAAGGAGAAGAAGGGGAGAGAAGAAGAGGGGAGUAGAAGGGAGGGAAAAGAAGGGAGUUACAAAAGUAUACUUUCAGUUGAUACCACUUUAACAUGUAUCAUAAACACAGGCAUCUAUCUGAACUGUACCAUCCAAUAGUCUAAUACAGCCAUGUGUGGCUACUUAAAUCCAUCAGCUUAAGUUUAAAACCUAGUUUCUCAGCCUUAUGAACCACAUUUCAAGGGCUGAAUAGCCCCAAAGCCCUAAUGGCCACUGCAUAGGAAAAAAUGCAGACAUCCAUAUCUACCACUGCAGAAAGCUCUACUGGACACUGCUCCUGUA